rnacentral:hammerhead_ribozyme from 1 species
CUUGAGCUGAUGAGUCGCAAAUAGGACGAAACGCAUGUCCUGGAU